ensembl:lncRNA
GUUGUCAAAAGGUUUGUUAUGUGGUUGUCAGGGUGUUGCUGUGUGGUUGUCAAAGAGAUGCUAUGCGGUUUUCAAGGUGUUUCUAUGCUGUUGUCAGGGUGUUGCAAUGCUGUUGUCAAGGUGAUGCUGUGCAGUUGUCAGGGUGUUGCAAUGCUGUUGUCAAGGUGUUGCUGUGCUGUUCUCAGGAUGUUACUUUUUCGGGUGUCAAGGUGUUGCUGUGCGGUCAUCAGGGUGUUGCGAUGCUGUUGUCAAGGUGGUGCUGUGCAGUUGUAGGGUGUUGCGAUGCUGUUGUCAAGGUGUUGCUGUGCAGUUGUCAGGGUAUUGCGAUGCUGUUGUCAAGGUAUUGCUGUGCGGUUGUCAGGGUGUUGCUGUGCGGUUUUCAGGGUGUUGCAAUGCUGUUGUCAAGGUAUUGCUGUGCAGUUGUUAGGGUGUUGCGAUACUGUUGUCAAGGUGUUGCUGUGCGGUUGUUAGGGUGUUGCGAUGCUGUUGUCAAGGUGUUGCGAUGCAGUUGUUAUGGUGUUGCGAUACUGUUGUCAAGGUGUUGCUGUGCGGUUGUUAGGGUGUUGCGAUGCUGUUGUCAAGGUGUUGCGAUGCAGUUGUUAGGGUGUUGCGAUGCUGUUGUCAAGGUGUUCAAAUUGAGAAACACUGAAGACUGUCAAAGGCUGUGAGGCUGAAGGGUGGUUGUAAAGAAUUUUUGUUAUUGUACAGUGUGUCUGUAACAGGCAGUUACUGUAUAUUUUGUGUGUCCGAUGUGUCUGAUUGUGUCAUUCGUGUCUGUUGAGGGUGUGACUCUCAGAACUGUUGCGUGAGACUCACACUGUUCAGACUCACAGAUGGCUUCAGUUCUUCAUGUGAGCAUGCACAGCUGCAGACGAGCCACCCGCUGCUUCACGUCCCCAUUCCUCCGUCUGUCUUCUCCAGAACCUGAAUUACAAAUAAUUCAUUAACAAUUUCAUUCUUUAGAAAAAAACAUCUUUUUAUGCAAAUAGA